GCGGGUGUAGCUCAAUGGUAGAGCUCUAGCUUCCCAAGCUAGUGACGAGGGUUCGAUUCCCUUCACCCGCU
rnacentral:tRNA from 1 species